GCCCUUCGGGGCAGGAAGACAGGUGGUGCAUGGUUGUCGUCAGCUCGUGUCGUGAGAUGUUGGGUUAAGUCCCGCAACGAGCGCAACCCUUACCGUUAGUUGCUACCAUUAAGUUGAGAACUCUAGCGAGACUGCCCGGGUUAACCGGGAGGAAGGUGGGGAUGACGUCAAAUCAUCAUGCCAACUAUGUCUAGGGCUACACACGUGCUACAAUGGCUGG
rnacentral:rRNA from 1 species